UCUCGAACUCCUGACCUCAAGUGAUCCACCUGCCUCGGCCUCCCAAAAUACUGGGAUUACAGACUUCUCAUCAAGCUGGAGAUAAUGAAAUAAUAUUUAAACUGCUGAGAGAGAGAAAAAAAGCAUCAAUCUACCAUUCUUUAUCUAGCAAAAAUAUUGUUUAGAAAUGAAGAUGAAAUAGACUUUUUCAGGCAAAUGGAAACUGAGAGAAUUUGUUGCCUGUAGACCUGAACUUUCAAAAUUACAAAAAGAGAAAUGAUACCAGAUAGAAACCUGGACAUAUACAGAGCAAUAAAGAAUAUUGGAAAUGGUAAAUA